UACGAAGGGGGCUAGCGUUACUCGGAUUGACUGGGCGUAAAGGGCGCGUAGGCGGUUUGUACAGUCAGACGUGAAAUUCCUGGGCUCAACCUGGGGGCUGCGUUUGAUACGUGCAGACUUGAGUUCGGAAGAGGGUCGUGGAAUUCCCAGUGUAGAGGUGAAAUUCGUAGAUAUUCGGAAGAACACCAGUGGCGAAGGCGACUUACUGGACACAUAUUGACGCUGAGGUGCGAAAGCGUGGGGAGCAAACAGG
rnacentral:rRNA from 1 species